rnacentral:rRNA from 1 species
GACGAACGCUGGCGGCGUGCUUAACACAUGCAAGUUGAGCGGAAAAGGCCCUUCGGGGGUACUCGAGCGGCGAACGGGUGAGUAACACGUGGGUAAUCAACCCUUGACAUCGGGAUACCCGGGGAAACCCGGAUCAAUACCGGAUAAGGUGCGGAGGCGCAGGCCGCCGUACCAAAGAUAGCUUCGGCUUUCGGUCAAGGACGAGCCCGCGGCCCAUUAGCUUGUUGGUGGGGUAAUGGCCUACCAAGGCGACGAUGGGUAGCUGGUCUGAGAGGACGAUCAGCCACACUGGGACUGAGACACGGCCCAGACUCCUACGGGAGGCAGCAGUGGGGAAUCUUGCGCAAUGGGCGGAAGCCUGACGCAGCAACGCCGCGUGCGGGAAGAAGGCCUUAGGGUCGUAAACCGCUUUCAGGGGGGACGAAGCUUCCGGGGUUAAUAGGCUACGGGGUGACGGUACUCCCAAAAGAAGGUCCGGCUAACUACGUGCCAGCAGCCGCGGUAAUACGUAGGGACCGAGCGUUGUCCGGAAUCAUUGGGCGUAAAGAGCGUGUAGGCGGCUUGGUAGGUCUCGUGUGAAAUCCCGCGGCUCAACCGCGGACCCGCACGGGAAACCCCCAAGCUCGAGUCCGGAAGAGGAGAGUGGAAUUCCUGGUGUAGCGGUGAAAUGCGCAGAUAUCAGG